rnacentral:rRNA from 1 species
UGUAUAGCAAUAGCUGAUUGCACCAACAAAUAGUUGAUGCAAUAUUGACUCUGUCAAAUAAAAUUCUAGGUAGAAUUAUGAUAAUGACAUUGUCUGCCUAUAUGUCUUGACCAAAUUACGUGCCAGCAGUCGCGGUAAUACGUAGAAGACUAGUGUUAUUCAUCUUUAAUAGGUUUAAAGGGUACCUAGACGGUAAAUCAAGCCUUCACAGGGACUAAUUUACUAGAGUUACUUACGAGGGGGUAUUAAAGUACUGCAGGUGUAGAGAUGAAAUUCUGUGAUACCUCUUUUCAAAAGAAAAAUUAUGGCACAGGUAUAGGUGAAAGCAUCCCCUUAUGUGAUAACUGACGUUGAAGGACGAAGGCUUUGUGUCGCGAACAGGAUUAGAUACCCCAGUAGUCAAAGCAGAAAAUGAUGAAUGUCAUAGAUUAGAUAAAUAGUUUAUUCUAUAAAUGAAAAUGUAAGCAUUCCACCUCAAGAGUAAUUUGGCAACAUUGGAACUGAAAUCAUUAGACCGUUUCUGAAACCAGUAGUGAAGUAUGUUGUUUAAUUUGAUGAUCCGCAAAAAACCUUACCACAAUUUGAAUAUUUAUAUCUAUCUUUUUUUUUCGUAAAAAAAUAAAAAGGUAAUAUAUUUACAAGCGUUGCACGGCUGUCUUCAGUUAAUGUCGCGAGACUUUGGUUAGUUCCAUUAAAUUAACGUAAACCCUUACUUUAUUUUUAUAUAAAGUAGUUCCCCGCUAUAUUGGAUAUGAUAACAGGGACUAAGACAAGUCAUCAUGGCC